rfam:Triticum aestivum genome assembly, contig: Triticum_aestivum_CS42_TGACv1_scaffold_640728_T_4BL-0.163460_3B-0.088061
AAAGUACUCCCUCCGUCCCAAAAUUCUUGCCUUAGAGUUGUCUAGAUACUGAUGUAUCAAGUCACAUUUUAGUAUUAGAUACAUCUGUAUCUAGACAAAUCUAAGACAAGAAAUUUGGAACAGAGGGAGUAGUUG